rnacentral:rRNA from 1 species
UGGGGAAUUGUUCGCAAUGGGCGCAAGCCUGACGACGCAACGCCGCGUGGAGGAUGAAGAUUUUCGGAUCGUAAACUCCUGUCGAAUGGGACGAACAGAUUGCGGGUUAACAGCCCGUAGUCCUGACGGUACCGUUAAAGGAAACCCCGGCUAACUCCGUGCCAGCAGCCGCGGUAAUACGGGGGGGGUAAGCGUUGUUCGGAAUUACUGGGCGUAAAGGGCUCGUAGGCGGCCAACUAAGUCGGAUGUGAAAUCCCCAGGCUCAACCUGGGAACUGCAUCCGAUACUGGAUGGCUUGAAUUCGGGAGAGGGAUGCAGAAUUCCAGGUGUAGCGGUGAAAUGCGUAGAUAUCUGGAGGAAUACCGGUGGCGAAGGCGGCAUCCUGGACCGACAUUGACGCUGAGGAGCGAAAGCUAGGGGAGCAAA